AGUUUUUGAGAUAAUAUCAUUGUGAAAAAGAGUGUCUACUUUCAGAAGUAAGAACAUCACUAUUAUACAAGCUUUCGAAGGGCAAGAAUUCCAAGGGAGAAUCAUAUUCAGUUUCUGAAAA